GAUGAACGCUGGCGGCGUGCCUAAUACAUGCAAGUCGAGCGAACAGACGAGGAGCUUGCCCCCCUGACGUUAGCGGCGGACGGGUGAGUAACAUGUGGAUAACCUACCUAUAAGACUGGGAUAACUUCGGGAAACCGGAGCUAAUACCGGCUAAUCUAUUCAACCGCAUGGUUCAAUAGUGAAAGACGGUUUUGCUGCCACUUAUAGAUGGAUCCGGACCGCAUUAGCUAGUUGGUAAGGUAACGGCUUACCAAGGCAACGAUGCGUAGCCGACCUGAGAGGGUGAUCGGCCACACUGGAACUGAGACACGGUCCAGACUCCUACGGGAGGCAGCAGUAGGGAAUCUUGCGCAAUGGGCGAAAGCCUGACGGAGCAACGCCGCGUGAGUGAUGAAGGUCUUCGGAUCGUAAAACUCUGUUAUUAGGGAAGAACAAAGGUGUAAGUAACUAUGCACGUCUUGACGGUACCUAAACAGAAAGCCACGGCUAACUACGUG
rnacentral:rRNA from 1 species